CAUCAUUUUUUAUUUGUGCAUUAUUCAUCAAUCAAUUUUGAUAAAGUCAAGUGGGAUCUUGUUAAAUUCGUAUUAAUGCAAGGAUUCCAAAUAUCAACUUUUUAUAAUUUUUACUUAUACGCAUUUAGAGAUAUUAAUGUUCAAAUAAGCGCGUUGGCAUACGUGCAAUGAGAAAUGAUGCAUCUAUUGUGGAACGGAAGAAGUAUAUAUAAUCAGUGGCGGACCUAGGGUGGGACAUCCUAGGUCACGUGACCCACCAAUACUUAAAAAAAUAAAAAAAUAAAAAAAAUAAAAUAAAUUGUAAACCCAAAUAAUUCACGCAGCCACCAGCGCUCUCUGUCUUCGACGCAGCCAAAAUAAAACUCAAAACCUAAAGAAACCUCCCUCUCUCUCUUCGACGCAGCCACCAGCCCACCAACCUCAUCCGUCCGGGCGUCCACCGACCACCGAACACCCAGAUCCGAGCAGGCGAGUAACAUACUGAGCCACCGAGGAAGAGGGUCUUCAUCAUUUCCGAGCAGUCGAGCAUCGACUCACCGAGGAAGAGGAACCAUCUUCUAUUCUUCAAUCUUCAUCAUUUCCGACUUUCCGAGCACUGUCUGUCUGUCUUCAUCAUUUCCGACCACCGAUGAGGAGGAGCCGAAGCCCGAAGAAGCCUGAUUCAGCAACUCGUGACUCGUGAGAGUUAAGAUGUGUUUUGCAGGUGGAAAAGUUCGAGUCUUAAUUCCGGUUGAAGGUGCGUAGAGUCAUUCAAAGGUCUUAUAUGUUUCGAGGCGGGAUUGCGAAUCCAAGGUGUAAUUAGUCCAUUCUAGAGUUUAUCCUUGGUUGUAUUAUUUGUUAUAAGAGCUUUUAGUUUAUAAUUUAUGAAUUUUGAUUCCUUGUUUGAGUUUGUAAUUAAGUUAAGUACUGUUUGAGUUAAGUUCGUUUAAUUAAGGUUUAAGUGAAUUAAAAAAGCAGCUCGUUAAGUGCUGGCUAUUACAACAUUCUUACUAA